UUUUACAACUAUAUCACCCUGCAACUUACGAUUGGUAACCCACUGAAGUUAAGCAGGUGUGAGCCUGGCCAGUACCUGGAUGCGAGACCUCCUGGGAAAAACAGGUUGCUUCUGGAA
rnacentral:rRNA from 1 species